GCCCGGGUGGCGGAACUGGCAGACGCACAGGACUUAAAAUCCUGCGGGAUAACACCCGUACCGGUUCGAUUCCGGUCCCGGGCA
rfam:Epulopiscium sp. Nuni2H_MBin001 Nuni2HMBin001_87, whole genome shotgun sequence.